AGACAUUAAUCUUAAGUAUCCAGGGAGCCCUAAAACAUUGUAUCCCACUAGCAAGGACCAUGGUAAUUGCCACGUAAAUCCCCUCCAUUAUGUGGCCCUUAUUAUGACCAGCCAGCCAAGGCUUGCCUUUAAAUCAUACCAAUUGAACCGAGCCUUGUAGAAACACUAUCACCUACGCAUACCUCUGCUUCUUUUCAUUAACCUGCUAUCCUCUUUACAAAUGGGAUUCUUCACCCACUCCCUUCUUCUAGAUUAGCAAUGCCCUGUUAAGUAAACGAACACGAAAUUCAAAGGGAAACAGGAGCAAUCAUCAUUACCAGCUGCCGUGUUAAGCAUUGCGAAAACGCUCACGAUUCACAGAAAAAUCCAUGCUGUUCUUUGAAGGCAUUCAAGCCUUAAUAGCUAGCUGGAUGAAUGUUUAACUUCUAGGCCAGGCACUACUCUGUCCCAACAAUAAGCCCUGUACAUUGGGAAAGGUGCCGAGACAUGAACUUUGGUCUUCUCUGCAAUCCAUCUGGAGCAUUCACUGACAACAUCGACUUUGAAGUUGCACUGACCUGGCCAGCCCUGCCACUUACCAGGUUGGCUCUGUAUGGCUAAGCGUUUUCUCCUAAAAUCCCUUGAAAACUGUGAGAAGACCAUAAGAAGAUCAUAUCUUUAAUUCUAUUUCACAAGUCACACAAUAUUCCAAUCAAAUACAGAUGGUUGAGAAAAGUCAUCCAUCUUCCCUCCCCACCCUCCCACAGCCCCUCAACCACUGCCCUGAAACUUAUAUGCUGUUAUCCGCAGCUCCAUCUGGAGCAUCACAGCUACUGUCAACCCUGACGCUCUUUCUGAAAAAACACCGGAUGGACAUCAGAACUAUUUCUUUAAGGAUGUUACUGAGCCACACAGGAAAACUUGCCUUAUGAUUUUGAAUGCACGGAUCUGAUUUGACUAAACAUGAUAACUAGAGAAUCACCCAAUCUACUCCCAUUUUCAACUCUAAAUCAUCAGAGUGUCUCAAAUCCAAAGCACACACAGACCAGCCUGGCCAACACGGUGAAACUCCACCCCUACUAAAAGUAUAAAAAUUAUCCAGGUGUGGUGGCGGGCGCCUGUAAUCCAAGCUACUUGGGAGUCUGGAGGCAGGAGAAUCCCUUGAACCUGGGAGAUGGAGGUUGCAGUGAGCAGAGAUCACACCACCGCACUCUAGCCUGGGCCACAAAUCAACAACAACAACAACAACAAAAAACAAAGCGCACACAGAGACUGAGGUCCUCUUUGGCAUUGAGAAGAUGGCUAUGCAAGUCCCAACUAGCAAGUGCAAACUUCCCAGCUUCACUUCUGCCAGUGUCCCUUCACCCCUUCUCAACCCCACUGGGAGGCAGGAGGGUGCUUGACAAUAACAGCCUUGGCAUCACUCUGCCAGGGUGUAAUAGGAACUGUUACAAUUCUGAGAUUCUGUAAGUGCUUUGAGAUUUUGGAGUCAGACUGCUUGAACUUGAAUCCUGGCCCUCUCAUCAGAGACUUGACUUAUUUUAGGCUGUGGCUUGCCUUUUCACUUCUUGUGUCCUGUUUAAGAAAUAUCUGCUAUCCCAAGCAUCUGGCAUCUUUCUUGACAUAUGUAGCAGUUGCUUUUUGACAGCUUGCUUCUUCAGUGAAUGAAUAAAUUAAUAAAGAGAAAUGUGAUGUUCAGUGAUCCAUUUUGCAGAUUGCAAACUCCUAGAGAAGGGCUCAACAGUGAGUGCUGAGGCUGCACAGAGGAGGAAGGCAGCACAAUGAUGGAAGGCUUCCUAAAGAGAUUGAGCCUCAUAUUUCAUAUCUGCCCCUGGCCUAAUGGUUGUUUACAGAAUGAGCUCAAUGAAUAUUGUUAAAUAACACUAACAAAGUUGACCUUAGAAUUGGAGUGCCUGGGUUAGAACCCUGCUGGUACCACCUGCUUACUGCAUGCUUCUGAUGUGAGUUCAGGAGAAGACACUGGCAAGGACAGCAAAGAACAGGAGAACACUCUAGCUUCCCUGAUAGCAUUCAAGGUGCUGUCCAAACUGACUGUGAUGGCACCCUCCAGACAGACAGCGAUGCCACAUGUUCAAGAUGGCAGAAUCACUAUCAGCUUCAAUUCCUGAAUGACUGCAGAGCAAAAUUUCUUACCUGCAACAUACACUCUAUUUUCAGCCUCCCUGGACUGUUACAUAAUGAUACAUAAAAAUAUUUCUUGUGUUGAGGCAUCCCAAAUUUGAUUUAUUUGUCAUCACAGUCUAUCCUAUGAAUAUAUUUCUGAUCCAAAUAAUGCUAGAUUCAUGAGAGUUUAUAGUCCAGAGAUUUUUUUUUUUUUUUUGAGACAGAAUCUGUCUCCCAGGCUGGGGUGCAGUGGCAUAAUCUUAGCUCACUGCAACCUCUGCCUCCCGGGCUCAAGUGAUCCUCCCUCCUUAGCCUCCAUGAGUAGCUGGGACCACAGGUGUGCACCACCACACCCCGCUAAUUAUUUUGUAUUUUUUGCAGAGGGGGGUUUCACCACAUUGCCCAAGCUGGUCUCAAACUCCUAGACUUAAGGGAUCUGCCUGCCUUGGCCUCCCAAAAUGCUGAAAUUACACUUGUUAGCCAUAGUAAUAGUUCCUAGCCAUAGUCCGGAGAUAUUUUAAAAACUUUAGUGUGAGUUAUUUCUCUUUGCUAUAAUUCUCUCAUGCAUUUUGAAAACCUUUUCUGCCAUACAGUGGUUUUUGGGAAGUCCUUUUGGACAGACAUAUCACAGGAUGGAGAAACUAAAAAGAGAGAAUGCAUUAAAGAAAAAAUAGUACUUCGUAUUUCAGAAAUUACAAAAGGGUGUCAUGCCCCACAGCAUGGUGGGCAGUCAUUUGUAACCCACAGAACAUUGAGUUUCUAAAAUUUGAGUGUUUUUAACUUACGAAGGCCAACUUUACUGAUGAAGUGAUUACCCCAAAUAUGUGAAAUCCAUAUUUCAAGUACAAUAGUAGGAAAUUGGAAAUGGGCUCUUGAGUUUCUGCUUUCAAGUGACCCUCAGAAAUUCCUCCAUUCACUGCAGAGGUUCUGUUUCUCCUUGCUUUGUUCUGACUUUACGGCAGAACUAAGCUAAUGAGUUAGUUACUAUGGGUUAUCACUUGGAUUUGAAGAACCAUCAUUUCUAGGCAUUGCUGCUCAGAGUGGGUCUGCCCUCAGGGGAAGCUGUCUAACCAGAGCCUAACCCACUAGGGUUUUAUCAGAACCUAACUGACCUGAGGAAAAGAAAUACUCAACUCCAGCAAGCUCCAGCCUUCCAAAUGGAGGAGGAGAAAACCCAACUCCAGCCCACUUCAGCUAUCUUGUCCCACAUAAAGGGGAAGUGGAAGAAACCUGAGAAGCAGGCAUGAAGUUCACAGUCCAGAGACCUUGCCAUCGUAUCCCCUUUUGGAGACACAAGCCAGGAAGGAAGCUCUUCAGUGCAGCUGUGAAUAGAGAAAUGCUGGCUGAGGUUUUGGAGACACUGGGUGAUCAUUCCCAGUGAAAUUUUUAGAUCCCUGGGGACAUGAGCUGCUUUGUCUUUUCCAAGGCUGAAAAAGUUUUGGAAGCCCUCCUAAGCAGGUGCCAGACCCUUUUUUGGCCAGAGACAGGAUCUUACGCUGUUGCCCAGGCUGGAGUGCAAUAGUGUCAUCAUGGCUCACUGUAGCCUGGAACUGCUGGGCUCAAGGGAUCCUCCCAGCUCAGCCUCCCAAGUAGCUAGGAGUAAAGUCUGGAGAACACUUUUUCUUUUGAGCUGUUUACAACCUUUAGCAAUUGAGUAGAGUGUACUCUUGUCAAUAGAAUUUGAAGCACAUUUCUCUCUCUGCCUGAUUUCUGUAGAAUUUGUAAACUAUUUGUGAAUAUUCUUAAUUUAUGGCAAUAUGGUUGCUUACAUAAGUUCAAUAAUAAUCUGUUUUCUUUUACAAUGAGACACAGUUGGAGGAACUGGUUAUUUUCCCAGGGCUUUGACUGAAAUGGCCUUGUGAAUGGUUCCAGGAAAGCCAAUUUUGGAGACCCUAUGUGGAUGAUGAUGCUUGCUGUACUUUCUGUGGGUAAUCGGGCCAAGUAUAUGGGACUGAAGCUAAUUUUGCAGGUGAGAAAAUGGAGGUCCAGAGAGAAAAGUGACUCACCCAAGCUGAAAACAGUUGCAGGAAGAAAAGCCAGGACAGAACUGGGCUGUUAGAAACCUUGGAGUACACUAAAGAUGAGGAACUGAGUCACCGCAAUGCCAAAUGUAACACGCUGUGGGUCAAAAUUUGGAUGGUUGCGUUGGAAAUUAUUCUGAAGCCACAGACAGGGCUAAAAGGAUGAUUCACAAAGUGUUCAUAGCAGGGAAGCUGAUGGAAAAGUGACAUGCCCCUAGACUUGAGAGAUGCUCUCUAAGUUUAAAAAGGAAACAGCUUAUUGUAAAAUUUAUUUGAAUCCUACAACCUUCCCAUAUCUGUGUAAUUAGCAAAAAGACAAGCUGCAACCAGAGAGG
rnacentral:lncRNA from 1 species